AGAGUCCUGACCUAGCUGCUUGUGGAUCAACAUGUAGAACUCUCAGCUCCUUCUCCAGCAUCAUGUCUGCCUGGAUGCUGCCUUGCUUACCUGCCAUAAUAAUGGAUUGAACCUCUAGAAAUCUUGUCUGAAGAGCCGAGAAGAUGAACCGCCAUUUUAAGAUGACGUCCAGAGCAGAUAAGCAAGAGGAAGACACCAAAUGUGUUCUUUAAGGGCCCAGAUGAUACUGAUGUGCCAGGUUUCAGAUUUGAGAACAGAGCUGAGGCCAUGGUGCACCUGGAGCCUAAAGCAAAGACGGAAAAACCUGAAUGACAGCCCAGGAGUUUCCAGAGCAGUACAAAGUCCUCUAUCUGGCUCCUACAACUGUCAUAAUAAGAAGUGCCAUCAUUUGCUGAUGAAAAUUAGGAAUGUAUUAACAGUAAUCACAUUUAACAGCUACAUCUGUGGGGUUUGCCAGACGUAACACAUUUUGAAUGAACUUGAUCACCGUUGCUUCCUAUUGAUAGGUUGAGCUACAAACAAGGAAGCCAAUUUAAUAUGCAUCCCCAUUGAAUUUAAACUGACCACCAAGCUUAUAAUCUCUGGCUGUAGAGACGAGGACACAAAGAGUUAAGUAACUUCCCCAAAGUCACACAAGCAGCCAUGCUGUUGUGACAGAAAACAUUAUGUGUUCAGGGUCUUGGAGGAGGAAAUGUCCCUUCUCAAACAUUCAGCC
rnacentral:lncRNA from 1 species